rnacentral:lncRNA from 1 species
UUAUGCUGCUAUUGUUAUUUAACUAAGUUGCAUGAGUUGUUGUUGAUUAUCAUUUGAUAUUGUUAUAUCUUGAGAUGUUUACGUGUCGCCUAUGUUGCUGUUGUUGGUUAUGUGAAAUACUUAUAUGCCUUAUGUGGAAGAUGUAUGAUGUUUAAGUUGUUGAUACUUCAUAAUAAUAUUGUUAUGUUGUGAAUUGCAUGUGCUGUUUGUUGCUGUUGUGAACUGCUAAGUUGUUUGUAAUGUGAUUUAAUGAUUAAAUGCAUUACUCGAAAUAUUAUUGAAUUAUAUUAGGAGCUUUGUCCUCCGCACGAUUAUUAGUAUGAAUAAGUUGAUGAUGAACUCCAAAUUAUUGGAUGUAUAAGUGAUAUGUUGAUUACGGUGAUUUGUUGAUAAGAGUCCAUGCAUUAGCAUUCAUUGAGCUUUGUCCUCACCACGUUUAGGAGCUUUGUCCUCCGCACGAUAGGAGCUUUGUCCUCUGCACGUUUAGGAGCUUUGUCCUCCGCACGAUGAAAGUAUAUUAAUACUUAUGAUGACGAUUGGUACCACAUGCAUAUAAGUGUCUAAGUUGCAUUGUCGCAUUUGUCGAGUCAAGGUCGUUGUUGAUGAAUUAUCAUCCAUGAGUUGUUAAGUUGUCGAUGAAUUAUCAUCUAUGAGUUGUCGAGUUGUCUUCUACCUAUGUGUUGUUAAAGAAGUACCUACGAAGAUUAUACGAUGUUUAUGAUGUGAAUUAUAUGAUGAUGACUAAGAUGUUGCUAUGUUGUUUAACAUAUUGAU